AGAGUUUGAUCCUGGCUCAGGAUGAACGCUGGCGGCGUGCUUAACACAUGCAAGUCGAACGAACCUUCGGGUUAGUGGCGGACGGGUGAGUAACGCGUGAGAAUCUGCCCUCAGGAGGGGGAUAACGGCUGGAAACGGCCGCUAAUACCCCAUAUGCCGAGAGGUGAAACGAAUUUCGCCUGAGGAUGAGCUCGCGUCUGAUUAGCUAGUUGGUGGGGUAAAGGCCUACCAAGGCGUCGAUCAGUAGCUGGUCUGAGAGGAUGAUCAGCCACACUGGGACUGAGACACGGCCCAGACUCCUACGGGAGGCAGCAGUGGGGAAUUUUCCGCAAUGGGCGAAAGCCUGACGGAGCAACGCCGCGUGAGGGAUGAAGGCCUCUGGGCUGUAAACCUCUUUUAUCAAGGAAGAAGAUCUGACGGUACUUGAUGAAUAAGCCACGGCUAAUUCCGUGCCAGCAGCCGCGGUAAUACGGGAGUGGCAAGCGUUAUCCGGAAUUAUUGGGCGUAAAGCGUCCGCAGGCGGCCUUGUAAGUCUGUCGUCAAAGCGUGGAGCUUAACUCCAUUUAAGCGAUGGAAACUGCAAGGCUAGAGUGUGGUAGGGGCAGAGGGAAUUCCCGGUGUAGCGGUGAAAUGCGUAGAUAUCGGGAAGAACACCAGUGGCGAAGGCGCUCUGCUGGGCCAUAACUGACGCUCAUGGACGAAAGCCAGGGGAGCGAAAGGGAUUAGAUACCCCUGUAGUCCUGGCCGUAAACGAUGAACACUAGGUGUCGGGGGAAUCGACCCCCUCGGUGUCGUAGCCAACGCGUUAAGUGUUCCGCCUGGGGAGUACGCACGCAAGUGUGAAACUCAAAGGAAUUGACGGGGGCCCGCACAAGCGGUGGAGUAUGUGGUUUAAUUCGAUGCAACGCGAAGAACCUUACCAGGGUUUGACAUCCUGCGAAUCCCUUGGAAACGAGGGAGUGCCUUCGGGAGCGCAGAGACAGGUGGUGCAUGGCUGUCGUCAGCUCGUGCCGUGAGAUGU
rnacentral:rRNA from 1 species